rnacentral:rRNA from 1 species
UACGUAGGCAGCAAGCGUUGUUCGGAGUUACUGGGCGUAAAGGGCGCGUAGGCGCUUGUCAGUCAGGCGUGAAAGCCCCGGGCUCAACCUGGGAACGGCGCUUGGGACGGCGAGGCUGGAGUUCGGGAGAGGAGAGUGGAAUUCCCAGUGUAGAGGUGAAAUUCGUAGAUAUUGGGAAGAACACCGGUGGCGAAGGCGGCUCUCUGGACCGACACUGACGCUGAGGCGCGAAAGCGUGGGGAGCAAACAGG